AUAAUCAUGAAUGGAUAUUAAAGUCUCAUGUAGUUAUUUGCAUAUGCAAAAGAUAUAAUUCUAUUACAAAAUGAGAACGUACUUGUUGCGAUAUGUUUAUGGUGGCUCUAUUCACAAAGUAAAAAGCAAGUGAUGUCGAAACAUUGACUACUUAAUAUACACUGUAUAAACUGACCCCGAUUUUUACUGCUUGGGACAAAUAAUGUCGAUAUAGAUAGAGGGCAUUUAAAUCAUUAGGAGAUUCUGUACUUACCGUUAUGUAUGUAUGUCUACUUGAGCGAGAGGAAUAGCUAAGCUUGUAAUCGCGUGUUGCUUAUUUUUAGAACUGAGAAGAUCAAUAUGGCUGCCACUCUUUGGAAUCUAACAGGAUAAAAGGAUACUUUGACAUUUAAAGACCAAAUCAGUAAACAGUGAGUUCUUAACCAGCUAGACACAAUGGCAUUUUUGACACAAAUAGCAGAAAUAACGGAUUACUUGUAUCUUUGUAGUGCAACAGCAAUAACUCGUCAACGAUUAUCUAUUCUUGGAAUAACGCAUAUAAUAAAUUGCACUUUAGAUGUACCAAACCUUAAUGUCCCAGGGAUUCAGAGUACUCAAAUCCACGUCGAUGAUCACUCACAAGCACAGUUAUAUCUACAUUUCGACCGAGUGGCAGACGAGAUCAGUACCAUAGCUUCGCGUGGAGGAAAGGUCAUAGUUCAUUGUGUAGCUGGCGUUAGCAGAUCUGCCACAUUAUGUAUAGUCCACCUGAUGAAAUAUCACAGAAUGACUUUAGCAAAAGCUCAUGAUUUUGUACAGAAAAGGAGGUCCGUGAUUCGUCCAAAUAAUGGAUUUUGGAAACAGAUGAUAGAAUAUGAGAGAAAAUUGUAUGGACGUAACAGUGUCCACUUGGUCAACUCCAAUGUAGGCCUGGUUCCUAAUCUAUACACAGAAAAGGCAAGACAUUCGGUCUCAGUGCCAUCUACUUCAUAUUCCAGAGCUUAUGGCCGAGCUUUUAAUAGACGACCACGUUACAGCUAUUGAUGGCAAGCUUUGAUUUAUCAGAAACUACGGAAUUAUUUCGAAUAUAACCGCUAUACUUUUUAGUGUUAUAGGGAUUGUGUGGUUAUUUUAUUAAGGUCAUUAAAUGUUUCAAAGGAAA